rnacentral:rRNA from 1 species
AUACGGAGGGUGCAAGCGUUAAUCGGAAUUACUGGGCGUAAAGCGUACGUAGGCGGUUAUUUAAGUCAGAUGUGAAAGCCCCGGGCUUAACUUGGGAACUGCAUUUGAAACUGGGUAACUAGAGUUUAGUAGAGGGGAGUGGAAUUUCAGGUGUAGCGGUGAAAUGCGUAGAGAUCUGAAGGAACACCAGUGGCGAAGGCGACUCCCUGGACUAAAACUGACGCUGAGGUACGAAAGCGUGGGUAGCAAACAGGAUUAGAUACCCGGGUAGUCC